CACGUAGGGUGCGAGCGUUGUCCGGAAUUAUUGGGCGUAAAGAGCUCGUAGGCGGUGUGUCGCGUCGGCCGUGAAAACCUGCAGCUUAACUAUGGGCUUGCGGUCGAUACGGGCAUCACUGGAGUUCGGCAGGGGAGACUGGAAUUCCUGGUGUAGCGGUGAAAUGCGCAGAUAUCAGGAGGAACACCGGUGGCGAAGGCGGGUCUCUGGGCCGAUACUGACGCUGAGGAGCGAAAGCGUGGGGAGCGAACAGG
rnacentral:rRNA from 1 species